AGUGAACGCUGGCGGUAGGCCUAACACAUGCAAGUCGAACGGCAGCACAGUAAGAGCUUGCUCUUACGGGUGGCGAGUGGCGGACGGGUGAGGAAUACAUCGGAAUCUACUUUUUCGUGGGGGAUAACGUAGGGAAACUUACGCUAAUACCGCAUACGACCUACGGGUGAAAGCAGGGGAUCUUCGGACCUUGCGCGAUUGAAUGAGCCGAUGUCGGAUUAGCUAGUUGGCGGGGUAAAGGCCAACCAAGGCGACGAUCCGUAGCUGGUCUGAGAGGAUGAUCAGCCACACUGGAACUGAGACACGGUCCAGACUCCUACGGGAGGCAGCAGUGGGGAAUAUUGGACAAUGGGCGCAAGCCUGAUCCAGCCAUACCGCGUGGGUGAAGAAGGCCUUCGGGUUGUAAAGCCCUUUUGUUGGGGAAGAAAAGCAGCAGGUUAAUACCCCGCUGUUCUGACGGUACCCAAAGAAUAAGCACCGGCUAACUUCGU
rnacentral:rRNA from 1 species